UCUCAAAAUCAAAAGGAGAUGCUUAAGCUGCUAGUUACUGAUAUGAAGCCACUUUCUGUUCGGGACAUUGUCCACAAUGGAGCCACUUUCCAGCUUUGUUGGCCAUCGUGAAUUGUGUGGCGAGCAAAUCGAAGAGUGCAUGAAGGACAAUAUGAUUGAGUAUGCCGUUAGAGUAUUAUCCGGAAGCUUGGUAUUGCAAGUGUGGCAACAAGCUCUUCAUGCCUAAGCUGUAUCAAAAUUUUAUUCCUAGUUUUGUUUCACUUUGAAGCUCCUUUGUAUUUAGGUGAUGUUGUAUCACAUUCUAAUGUUCAAGUGUAUGCAAUUCCAAAAUUUGUUCAGGAGA